GGCCCUCCUCCUAGCCCCGCCCCAAACAGAGCGGGAGUUUGGACUGGGCCAAAUGCCGGUGCUGUUCUUUCUCCUGGCUCCGGGUCGUGAACUUUUUAGGACUGUGUUUCAGAUAAGAGCCUCUUCAAACCCACAGUUGCCAAAGCGGGGGUCAUCAUCUAUUCGGAGGCUGGAGAGAGAAGAGAAUGUUGGUGGAAAAGAGCCGACACCAACUGACAGUAAGGAAGAAGUUCAAGUUGCUUACUAGUGUGAGUUGCAGUGAUGGAGAAGACGGUCUGCAGCCAGUUCCUAAGAAAACCAAAUGCCUAGAGCACCAGCUAAGGGCUCUGCAGAUCACCAACGUACCAAAAAAUGUUUUCCUUGUCACUGGCCUGGUCAAACUCAUAACCCUAAACAUCGGCUCAGCUGAUGAUGCCGUUCACGCCCAG